AUACGGAGGGUGCAAGCGUUAAUCGGAAUUACUGGGCGUAAAGCGCACGCAGGCGGUCUGUUAAGUCAGAUGUGAAAUCCCCGGGCUCAACCUGGGAACUGCAUUUGAAACUGGCAGGCUUGAGUCUCGUAGAGGGGGGUAGAAUUCCAGGUGUAGCGGUGAAAUGCGUAGAGAUCUGGAGGAAUACCGGUGGCGAAGGCGGCCCCCUGGACGAAGACUGACGCUCAGGUGCGAAAGCGUGGGGAGCAAACAGGAUUAGAUACCCUGGUAGUCCACGCCGUAAACGAUGUCGACUUGGAGGUUGUGCCCUUGAGGCGUGGCUUCCGGAGCUAACGCGUUAAGUCGACCGCCUGGGGAGUACGGCCGCAAGGUUAAAACUCAAAUGAAUUGACGGGGGCCCGCACAAGCGGUGGAGCAUGUGGUUUAAUUCGAUGCAACGCGAAGAACCUUACCUGGUCUUGACAUCCAGAGAAUCCUGCAGAGAUGCGGGAGUGCCUUCGGGAACUCUGAGACAGGUGCUGCAUGGC
rnacentral:rRNA from 1 species